rnacentral:lncRNA from 1 species
CCCAUAUUAUUGCUAGCCUCUUCUCAUCCUUAUCUUCUCCAGUUCCUCUCCUGUUCCUCUCUUGGAGCUCGCGCCCUCUUCACGAGCACUUCUUCUUACUACUCCUCUCCUCUUUCUCACAACUCCCAAAAAUAAAAAUAAAAAUAUUCAAAACAAAAGGAAACAAAGCAGUCCCCAAAAAUCUGAAAGUUGAUACAAAAAACCAAGCAAAAAGAUCAGACCUUUUUCUUCUUCAAACUCCCCCAUUCAUAAUCCCACAUGAAAAAUCAUCCAACUUUCUUGAAAACCAUUUCCUUGUUAAAAUUCAGCACUUGUCACACAGACCCAAUAAUCUGAAAAAAGAAAAAAAGAAACCCCAUUAGAGAAAACCCCAAGAAAAUGAAGAGAGAUCGUGAUAGAGAAAAUUCCCAAGAUGGUUCUUCUUCUGGUAAAUCUAAGAUUUUUGAAGAAGAACAACCAGAUGCUGGAAUGGACGAGCUUUUAGCUGUUCUGGGUUAUAAAGUUAAAUCUUCAGAUAUGGCUGAAGUUGCACAAAAACUUGAACAACUU